rnacentral:rRNA from 1 species
GACGAACGCUGGCGGCGUGCUUAACACAUGCAAGUCGAACGGAAAGGCCCAGCUUGCUGGGUACUCGAGUGGCGAACGGGUGAGUAACACGUGGGUGAUCUGCCCUGCACUCUGGGAUAAGCCUGGGAAACUGGGUCUAAUACCGGAUAUGAUCAACUGUCGCAUGGUGGUUGGUGGAAAGCUUUUGCGGUGGGGGAUGGGCCCGCGGCCUAUCAGCUUGUUGGUGGGGUAAUGGCCUACCAAGGCGACGACGGGUAGCCGACCUGAGAGGGUGAUCGGCCACACUGGGACUGAGACACGGCCCAGACUCCUACGGGAGGCAGCAGUGGGGAAUAUUGCACAAUGGGCGCAAGCCUGAUGCAGCGAUGCCGCGUGAGGGAUGACGGCCUUCGGGUUGUAAACCUCUUUCACCAGGGACGAAGCGUGAGUGACGGUACCUGGAGAAGAAGCACCGGCCAACUACGUGCCAGCCGCCGCUGUAA